AGGAACCGUUAAUUAAAAGUGGCGGCUUUGUGGUGUGAACUACAUCGAAUAACUUAUCUAAUUCGGGGGAUAUCCUAACGUAGAGUCGAGGACAAUCCUGAGCGAAGCUCAGAGCAUUCUGAGAACGUGCAACGACUAUCCCGCAAGGGAGUAGGGCCAAGUGGCUCGAAAUGGUAAGGGGCUUCCAAUUUAAGGAAGUUCGUGAUAUAGUCUAUUCUGCAUGGAAACAUGCAG
rnacentral:ncRNA from 1 species